CGUUGAUAGGUCAGGUGUGGAAGUGCAGUAAUGCAUUAAGCUAACUGAUACUAAUUGCCCGUACGGCUUGUCCCUAUAACCUUAGCAGGU
rnacentral:rRNA from 1 species